rnacentral:rRNA from 1 species
UACGUAGGGGGCAAGCGUUAUCCGGAUUUACUGGGUGUAAAGGGAGCGUAGACGGUAAUGCAAGUCUGGAGUGAAAACCCGGGGCUCAACCCCGGGACUGCUUUGGAAACUGUAUAACUGGAGUGCCGGAGAGGUAAGCGGAAUUCCUAGUGUAGCGGUGAAAUGCGUAGAUAUUAGGAGGAACACCAGUGGCGAAGGCGGCUUACUGGACAGUAACUGACGUUGAGGCUCGAAAGUGCGGGUAUCAAACAGG